rnacentral:rRNA from 1 species
ACAACGCUGGCGGCGUGCUUAACACAUGCAAGUCAAGGGGGCCCAGCAAUGGGCAACCGGCGAACGGGUGCGUAACACGUGAGCAACCUACCGAACUGUGGGGGAUAGCCGGCCUAACGGCCGAGUAAUACCGCAUACGCUUUCAGUGAGGCAUUUCACUGAAAGGAAACCUACGGGACAGAUCGAGGGGCUCGCGGCCUAUCAGCUAGUUGGCGAGGUAACGGCUCACCAAGGCAACGACGGGUAGCUGGUCUGAGAGGAUGGCCAGCCACAUUGGGACUGAGAUACGGCCCAGACUCCUACGGGAGGCAGCAGUGGGGAAUCUUGCGCAAUGGCCUAACGGCUGACGCAGCGACGCCGCGUGUGGGAUGAAGCUCUUCGGAGUGUAAACCACUGUUGCCCGGGACGAAUAGCUCGAUUAAUCGAGCCUGACGGUACCGGGUGAGGAAGCACCGGCUAACUCCGUGCCAGCAGCCGCGGUAAUACGGGGGGUGCGA